UGCAUGGUUGUCGUCAGCUCGUGUCGUGAGAUGUUGGGUUAAGUCCCGCAACGAGCGCAACCCCUAUUGUUAGUUGCCAUCAUCCAGUUGGGCACUCUAGCGAGACUGCCGGUAAUAAACCGGAGGAAGGUGGGAUGACGUCAAUCAUCAUGCCCCUUAUGACCUGGGCUACACACGUGCUACAAUGGUUGGUACAACGAGUUGCGAGUCGGUGACGGCGAGCUAAUCUCUUAAAGCCAAUCUCAGUUCGGAUUGUAGGCUGCAACUCGCCUACAUGAAGUCGGAAUCGCUAGUAAUCGCGGAUCAGCACGCCGCGGUGAAUACGUUCCCGGGCCUU
rnacentral:rRNA from 1 species